UUAUUAAAUAUCGUUCAUCUACUAUUUUGGCUAUUACAUCUUCUCUUAAAACCAUACAAGAGACGUCUCCUCUGUAAUCACUACGAGCUGAACUUGCAAUUUCCCUAGUCUUUUCCUCUGUGUUUUUAGUGUUAUUAUCCGAAUUAUGUCACAGCUAUCAGAUCUCAUCAACCUCGACCUCACUGACACCAAUGACAAGAUCAUCGCCGAGUACAUAUGGAUCUGGCAUGGACCUCAGAAGCAAAGCAAGAACUCUACCGGGACCUGUUAGUGACCCCUCGAAGCUUUCCAAAUGGAAUUAUGACGGGUCCAGCACUGGCCAAGCUCCCGGAGAAGACAGUGAAGUCAUCCUAUACCCUCAGGCCAUUUUCAAGGACCCAUUUAGAAGAGGCAACAAUAUCUUGGUUAUGUGUGAUGCUUAUACUCCGGCUGGAGAACCAAUUCCAACCAACAAGAGAUGUGCAGCAGCAAAGAUAUUCAGCCAUCCUGAUGUUGUUGCUGAAGUGCCCUGGUAUGGUCUGGAGCAAGAGUACACCUUGCUGCAGAAAGAUGUGAAAUGGCCCAUUGGAUGGCCAAUUGGUGGUUAUCCUGGUCCUCAGGGACCUUACUACUGCGCUGUCGGAGCUGACAAGGCAUUUGGGCGUGACAUUGUUGAUGCUCAUUACAAGGCCAGCUUGUAUGCAGGCAUCGACAUCAGUGGCAUCAACGGUGAAGUCAUGCCAGGCCAGUGGGAGUUUCAAGUUGGUCCUUCAGUUGGCAUCUCUGCCGGUGAUGAAUUAUGGGUUGCUCGUUAUAUUUUGGAGAGGAUCACGGAGAUUGCUGGAGUGGUUCUUUCUUUUGAUCCCAAGCCAAUCCCUGGUGAUUGGAACGGAGCUGGGGCUCACACAAAUUACAGUACUAAAUCCAUGAGACACGAAGGAGGCUAUGAAAUCAUCAAGAAAGCAAUUGAGAAAUUGGGACUAAGGCACAAAGAACACAUUGCGGUAUAUGGAGAAGGCAAUGAACGCCGUUUGACGGGAAAGCAUGAAACAGCUGACAUUAACACCUUCAAAUGGGGUGUUGCAAACCGUGGUGCCUCCAUUCGUGUUGGUCGUGAAACAGAGAAAGAAGGAAAGGGCUACUUUGAGGACAGGAGGCCUGCUUCGAACAUGGAUCCAUAUGUGGUAACUUCUAUGAUUGCUGACACCACUAUUUUGUGGAGGCCAUAAAAAGCAUC